ACGCUCGACACCUACGGAGGCAGCAGUAGGGAAUCUUCCACAAUGGACGCAAGUCUGAUGGAGCAACGCCGCGUGAGUGAAGAAGGUCUUCGGAUCGUAAAACUCUGUUGUUAGAGAAGAACACGAGUGAGAGUAACUGUUCAUUCGAUGACGGUAUCUAACCAGCAAGUCACGGCUAACUACGUGCUAGCAGCCGCGGUAAUCUGAGGCGGCUGGCAAGGC
rnacentral:rRNA from 1 species